AAGGUAAUAACAGCCAGUAAAGCCAACAAUGCAAACAUUUUGGCCAUUUUAAAUUCAAUACAACCUAUGAUAAAUACAAUAAUAUUAAAGUUGCCCAAGUUUCUGAUGUUAAAUAUUUUGUUUUCUUUCCCAUACAGUUGCCUGACGUGUAAAAUGUGUUUUCCUCCAUUUAUCACAGUUGUCUCUAUAGGCUCCAUUUGUCUCAUUUCAUGUGAGAGAGAUUCAAGUCGUACUCCUUAGCCGUGCUUGUUGGUGUUACGCGGCGCACAGUCUCAUUCCUCUGGCUAUUUUGUUGAAUUUCCACCACUAUUGGUGCAUUAGCGACAGAACGUGGACUAGCUUCAAUAUUUAUAGCUUUGUUACCUCAGAAGACUACACCUGUAAAGAAAAGACCUAUGCAGUCACAGCAAAUGCUUUUCCUCUUCUCCCAUGAGGUUGUACAACCCUGGUGCCAUAUCAACUCGUCGCCAGAGGGGCGACUCUAGAAGUUGUGCUACACCCUUUGAAAUGAAUUAUGUCAUUAGCGUGUUUUUUUUAUUAUUAUUAUUAUUAGCAUGUUAACACCGAGCAGAAAUUUUGUACGUAGGUCACAUGGCCAUUGUUCUUAUAGUGAAUUCCAGCUUAUUUCACUAGUCAGUGAAAUGUACUUUUUUUCCCCAUAUAUGAAGUAUUACAUUUAGAUAUACAAAAUUAGAAAAAAAAAUAUUUUGUACAACAAUUAAUCCUAAAUUGGCUCAAAAAGUUUAAGACAACUGUCAAUCUUGUGUCCUUGAUGAAUGCGUAUGACAUCCAUAAAAUUGUUUUUGAUGCUCAAACUUUGCCUAAAACUGCUAAAAUAAAAUAAUGUAUGUCUGAGAAAAGCAGAUUUAUGUAUUAUGUUAUCAGCUGCAAUUAUGACAUUUUCAAAGGCUUUUAUUAGUAAAAUGGUUUUGAGCUAAAAUUGUUUGUUAUGCAUUAUUACAUUUAACAAGGCCAAAAGUAUUAAACAUAACUGGUUGUAACACAAUUGUGACGUGAAUAUUCUCUGAUCUAAACCGAUAAUGUCAUCAGGUCCAUAAGAGCCAGUGUUCUGCAUGUUUUAGAUGUGUUCCUGCUCCAACAUAGAUUUAGAUUAUUUUAAACAAUUAACCCCAAAUAGCAAUAUAAUUACAGUUAGAAUCAGUUGUUACUUAUAGGAAAGAAAUUCUACAGAGCUGAAAUAAUGUCUGAAAAACUCAUCAGUGUAUCAUCAAAUUCUGCUGAGUCCUGGUAAUGAACUAUUCAUUAAAUCCAGGGGUGUUGAACCAGGGGAAGGUUCAACACCCCCUGGAGGACUGAAGCUGAAAACGACUGAUCUACAAUGUUUCAUUUUAACUCUGGCUGCAUCUCAUGCAUUGUUGCAUGUUUAGGCUUGUUUUCCUGCUGUAAAGGUAAUCCACACCAGCUAACAGAUUCCCUUUCAAUAUUCUUCCCAUCAACUCUGAGCAGAUUCACUUUCAUGCAUGACAAACAUUGUAAUUAGUAAAAAA